rnacentral:lncRNA from 1 species
UUCUGCUCUUUCAGUCCGUGAUACCGACCGACACUUCUUCAUAAGACAAGUCCUCUUGGAGUGGAAGUGGUUCAUGAGCCAAGACAUGAGAAGGGUCCGGAUUGUACUUACGUAGCAUGGAUACGUGGAACACGUUGUGGACUCUGGAGAGCUCUGGAGGCAGUGCUAGUCUGUAGGCAGCAGUACCAAUCCUGUCUAAGAUUUCGAAGGGUCCAAUAUACCGGGGGUUUAAUUUUUCCCUCUUGUCGAACCUACUAAUUCCCUUGAAGGGAGUGACCUUAAGAAACACCCGGUCGCCUUUCUCAAACGCUAGGUCUCUCCUCC